UCCCAAGUAGUUCAAAUGGUAAAGAAUCUGCCUACAAAGCAGGAGACCUGGGUUCAAUCCCUGGGUUGAGAA
rnacentral:tRNA from 1 species